UCUUGUCUUAAAAAAAAAAAAAAAUUAUGUAAAUGUCCUCUUUGUCUUUCAAAAUAUCUUAUAUAUACUUUACUGCAGGUAGCUGAAACCACAGAAAGUGAAACCCCAUGGAAUGGGGGAGGGCGUACUGUGUUAUUAAGACAUAGACCUCAAAUACUAGCUCUUCCAUAUACUAGGUACGUGACUAGGCAAGUUUUUAAACCUGAUUAUUUCCUCAUUUGUAAAAUGUAGGUAAUAAUAAUUGGGAUUGUUAAGAGAAUUAACUGAGAGAGCAAUCACCAUGUGUUAUUUGCUGAUAUUAUCACCAUUAUCGGGUAUGUGUAUCUCUUAGGUAUUUUUUAUUGGCACGUUCCGAUCCAGAUCCUAAAGCUCCUGCUAAUAAAGCCUUUACUGGAUUCAUUGUGGAAGCAGAUACCCCAGGAAUUCAGAUUGGGAGAAAGGAAUUAAACAUGGGCCAGCGAUGUUCAGAUACUAGAGGAAUUGUCUUCGAAGAUGUGAAAGUGCCUAAAGAAAAUGUUUUAAUUGGUGACGGAGCUGGUUUCAAAAUUGCAAUGGGAGCUUUUGAUAAAACCAGACCUACAGUAGCUGCUGGUGCUGUUGGAUUAGCGCAAAGAGCUUUGGAUGAAGCUACCAAGUAUGCCCUGGAAAGGAAAACUUUUGGAAAGCUACUUGUAGAGCACCAAGCGAUAUCAUUUAUGCUGGCUGAAAUGGCAAUGAAAGUUGAACUAGCUAGAAUGGGUUACCAGAGAGCAGCUUGGGAGGUU
rnacentral:sRNA from 1 species